GAGCGGUUAGCUCAGUUGGUUAGAGCGUCGCGUUGACAUCGCGAAGGCCGUAGGUUCGAGUCCUAUACCGCUCA
rfam:Anaerolineaceae bacterium oral taxon 439 strain W11661, complete genome.